UACGGAGGAUCCAAGCGUUAUCCGGAUUCAUUGGGUUUAAAGGGUGCGUAGGUGGCCUGUUAAGUCAGGGUGAAAGACGGUAAGCGUUAACUAUCGCAGUGCCCUUGAUACUGAUGGCUUGGAAUGAACUAGAGGUAGGCGGAAUGUGACAAGUAGCGGUGAAAUGCAUAGAUAUGUCACAGAACACCAAUGCGAAGGCAGCUUACUAUGGUUUUAUUGACACUGAGGCACGAAAGCGUGGGGAUCAAACAGG
rnacentral:rRNA from 1 species